CGGGCUGCGGGGCGCGGGCGGGCCGACUCCGGGGCGCUGCGUGCGCGCAGGGGCAGUCAUUCAGAUGAAAUUCCAGUCCCCGGCCAGAGACACCAGCCCGCCUCUGCCUUCCUCCUCCCUUCACAAAUAGAAACGGAAGGGGGAGGGAGAGAAGUGGAAAAAAAGGCAACCGGCGAGGGAGGGAGGGAGAAGCCCCGGCGGCGCUCCGCCAUCUUGGGCUCCGCGGCGGCGGCCGGGGUCUGGGCGCGCUCGCUGAGGGCCCCGCGGCGUCCUCUCGCUCCUGAUUCUUUUUUUUUUUUUUUUGGUGGGAUUUUUUUUUUUCCAAGGGGAGGGCUGGCGGCCUCCAACAAAUUAGGAGAGAGAGAGGGAGAAAAUGCCAAGUCCCGAUUUCUCUCCACCUCUGCUCCACCCACCCCGGUCCUGUCCAAAAAAUAAAAGAAGAUGAGAAUUGGAAGAAGUCGGCAGAAAGGCGAGAGCCCGCGGUCCCCGGCUGCUGCCCAGGCGACGCGUCCGGGGCGGGCCCGCACCCGUUGCUCGGUCCGAGGUCCGUCUGUCUGCCCGCGGCUUCUCAAGGGAGGGGAGGGCGCUUCGGGCAGGGUCUCCGCAGCCGCUGUCGCCUCAGAGCUUUAUCCUCAGAUCAAAAAAGAAAAAACAGGAAGAAAAAAAUCCCAACCCCAACACUCUCAUCACAGCCACCUUCAGCCAUCUUGCGCGUAUUAUUAUUUCAGGAAUAAUCUGUUUAAUAAAAAUACCUGCGUAUCCAGCCCCUCCCCCGCGUCCUGGGGUCCCCGCCCCCUUUUAAUAAUAAUCUCGAUAAUAAAAACGAUCGGCGGGCCGGGCAGUCCGUGGCGGCCCU
rnacentral:lncRNA from 10 species